CUUCGAGUGGUGUGGAUGUUUAUUGGGCCUAAAGCAUCCGUAGCUGGCCAGGUCAGUCCCUUGUUAAAUCCACCGAAUUAAUCGUUGGAUCGCGGGGGAUACUGCUUGGCUAGGGGACGAGAGAGGCAGACGGUAUUUUCGGGGUAGGGGUGAAAUCCUAUAAUCCCGGGAAGACCACCAGUGGCGAAGGCUGUCUGCUAGAACGCGCCCGACGGUGAGGGAUGAAAGCUGGGGGAGCGAACCGGAUUAGAUACCCGGGUAGUCCCAGCUGUAAACGAUGCAGGCUAGGUGUUUGGACGGCCACGUGCCGUUCUAGUGCCGCAGGGAAGCUGUUAAGCCUGCCGCCUGGGGAGUACGAUCGCAAGAUUGAAACUUAAAGGAAUUGGCGGGGGAGCACGGGGCGGGGGCGGCGGGCCGGGCGCGGGGCGCGGCGGGCG
rnacentral:rRNA from 1 species